rnacentral:rRNA from 1 species
AUUGAACGCUGGCGGCAGGCUUCACACAUGCAAGUCGAGCGAGCGGCGGACGGGUGAGUAAUGUCUGGGAAACUGCCUGAUGGAGGGGGAUAACUACUGGAAACGGUAGCUAAUACCGCCUACCAUCAGAUGUGCCCAGAUGGGAUUAGGUAGUUGGUGGGGUAAUGGCUCACCUAGGCGACGAUCCCUAGCUGGUGUGGGAUGAUGACCCUCCCCCCUGGAACUGAGAAACGGUCCACACUCCUUCCUCCUUCCUCCUUCUCCUCUAUUCCAACCUCUUCGCAAGCCUGAUUCAGCCAUGCCGCGUGUGUGAAUACCUCCUUCAGAUUAUCACGCACUUUCAGCGAGGAGGCGUUACUCGAAGAAGAAGCACCGGCUAACUACGUGCCAGCAGCCGCGGUAAUUC